rfam:Anaerocolumna jejuensis DSM 15929 genome assembly, contig: EJ31DRAFT_scaffold00036.36
GAAUAAGAUGAGCAUAACUGCCCAAAGGCAGUGACGCAAAGCUAUAGGGCCUAAGCCUUACAGGUAUGGCAGCCAGUUGCAAUU